rnacentral:rRNA from 1 species
CCUACGGGAGGCUGCAGUCGAGCAUCAUUCACAAUGGGGGAAACCCUGAUGGUGCGACGCCGCGUGGGGGAAUGAAGGUCUUCGGAUUGUAAACCCCUGUUAUGUGGGAGCAAAUUAAAAAGAUAGUACCACAAGAGGAAGAGACGACUAACUCUGUGCCAGCAGCCGCGUGAAUACAGAGGGCUCAAGCGUUGUUCGGAAUCACUGGGCGUAAAGCGUGCGUAGGCGGUUGCGGAAGUCGUGUGUGAAAGGCGCGGGCUCAACCCGCGGACGGCAACGGCUACUGCGAGACUUGAGUAAUGGAGGGGGAACCGGAAUUCUCGGUGUAGCAGUGAAAUGCGUAGAUAUCGAGAGGAACACUCGUGGCGAAGGCGGGUUCCUGGACAUUAACUGACGCUGAGGCACGAAGGCCAGGGGAGCGAAAGGGAUUAGAUACCCGGGUAGUC